CAGGGAAUCUUGCGCAAUGGGCGAAAGCCUGACGCAGCGACACCGCGUGGGGGAUGAAGGCUUUCGAGUUGUAAACCCCUUUUCUCGGGGAUGAGAAAGGACAGUACCCGGGGAAUAAGGUUCGGCUAACUACGUGCCAGCAGCCGCGGUAACACGUAGGAACCAAGCGUUGUCCGGAUUUACUGGGCGUAAAGUGCGCGUAGGCGGUCCGUUAAGUCUCAUGUGAAAUCUCCCGGCUCAACUGGGAGGGGUCAUGGGAUACUGGCAGACUUGAGUGCAGCAGAGGGGAGUGGAAUUCCCGGAGUAGUGGUGGAAUGCGUAGAUACCGGGAGGAACACCAGAGGCGAAGGCGACUCCCUGGGCUGUGUCUGACGCUGAGGCGCGAAAGCGUGGGUAGCAAACCGGAUUAGAUACCCCCGUAGUCC
rnacentral:rRNA from 1 species